rnacentral:lncRNA from 1 species
CAUAGAUUAUACAAAAUCACAGAAGGUGAUUAAAUUCUCUCGACGGCCCUGACAACAUAGAUUAUACAAAAUCACAGAAGGUGAUUAAAUUCUCUCGACGGCCUGACAACAUAGAUUAUACAAAAUCACAGAAGGUGAUUAAAUUCUCUCGACGGCCCUGACAACAUAGAUUAUACAAAAUCACAGAAGGUGAUUAAAUUCUCUCGACGGCCCUGACAACAUAGAUUAUACAAAAUCACAGAAGGUGAUUAAAUUCUCUCGACGGCCCUGACAACAUAGAUUAUACAAAAUCACAGAAGGUGAUUAAAUUCUCUCGACGGCCCUGACAACAUAGAUUAUACAAAAUCACAGAAGGUGAUUAAAUUCUCUCGACGGCCCUGACAACAUAGAUUAUACAAAAUCACAGAAGGUGAUUAAAUUCUCUCGACGGCCCUGACAACAUAGAUUAUAAAAAUCACAGAAGG